rnacentral:rRNA from 1 species
GAUGAACGCUGGCGGCGUGCCUAAUACGUGCAAGUCGAGCGAACGGACGAGAAGCUUGCUUCUCUGAUGUUAGCGGCGGACGGGCGAGUAACACGUGGAUAACCUACCUAUAAGACUGGGAUAACUUCGGGAAACCGGAGCUAAUACCGGAUAAUAUUUUGAACCGCAUGGUUCAAAAGUGAAAGACGGUCUUGCUGUCACUUAUAGAUGGAUCCGCGCUGCAUUAGCUAGUUGGUAAGGUAACGGCUUACCAAGGCAACGAUGCAUAGCCGACCUGAGAGGGUGAUCGGCCACACUGGAACUGAGACACGGUCCAGACUCCUACGGGAAGCAGCAGUAGGGAAUCUUCCGCAAUGGGCGAAAGCCUGACGUAGCAACGCCGCGUGAGUGAUGAAGGUCUUCGGAUCGUAAAACUCUGUUAUUAGGGAAGAACAUAUGUGUAAGUAACUGUGCACAUCUUGACGGUACCUAAUCAGAAAGCCACGGCUAACUACGUG